rnacentral:rRNA from 1 species
UACGGAGGGUGCAAGCGUUAUCCGGAUUCACUGGGUUUAAAGGGUGCGUAGGUGGGCAGGUAAGUCAGUGGUGAAAUCCCCGAGCUUAACUUGGGAACUGCCAUUGAUACUAUUUGUCUUGAAUACUGUGGAGGUUAGCGGAAUAUGUCAUGUAGCGGUGAAAUGCUUAGAUAUGACAUAGAACAUCAAUUGCGAAGGCAGCUGGCUACACGAAUAUUGACACUGAUGCACGAAAGCGUGGGGAUCAAACAGG